CCUCUGAACCAUACCACCCUGCAUCCCACUGCUGGCUUGCCUCUGAAGCUAAGUAGGGUAGGUCCUGGUCGGUCUCUGGAUGGGAUACCAGAUGCUGUUGGAAGUGGUUUUGGAGGG
rnacentral:rRNA from 1 species